rnacentral:rRNA from 1 species
UACGUAGGGUGCAAGCGUUAAUCGGAAUUACUGGGCGUAAAGGGCGCGUAGGCGGCUUGGUCAGUCCCGUGUGAAAUCCCUCGGCUCAACUGAGGAACUGCACGGGAAACUGCCUGGCUUGAGUUCGGGAGAGGGAAGCGGAAUUCCGGGUGUAGCGGUGAAAUGCGUAGAUAUCCGGAGGAACACCGGUGGCGAAGGCGGCUUCCUGGACCGACACUGACGCUGGGGCGCGAAAGCUAGGGGAGCAAACGGG